UACGUAGGGUGCGAGCGUUAAUCGGAAUUACUGGGCGUAAAGCGUGCGCAGGCGGUUUUGUAAGCCAGAUGUGAAAUCCCGGGCUCAACCUGGGAAUGCAUUGGGACUGCAAGGCUUGAGUGCGCAGAGGAGACUGGAAUUCCUGUGUAGCAGGUGAAAUGCGUAGAUAUCAGGAGGAAUACCGAUGGCGAAGGCAGGUCUCUGGGCUGACACUGACGCUCAUGCACGAAAGCGUGGGAGCAACAGG
rnacentral:rRNA from 1 species